AAACUAACAAGGAUUCCCCUAGUAGCGGCGAGCGAAGCGGGAAGAGCUCAAAUUUAUAAUCUGGCACUUUCAGUGUCCGAGUUGUAAUCUCUAGAAGUGUUUUCCGCGUUGGACCGCACACAAGUCUGUUGGAAUACAGCGGCACAGUGGUGACACCCCCGUACACGGUGCGGACGCCCAGCGCUUUGUGAUACACUUUCGAAGAGUCGAGUUGUUUGGGAAUGCAGCUCAAAUUGGGUGGUAAAUUCCAUCUAAAGCUAAAUAUUGGCGAGAGACCGAUAGCGAACAAGUACCGUGAGGGAAAGAUGAAAAGCACUUUGGAAAGAGAGUUAACAGUACGUGAAAUUGUUGGAAGGGAAACGCUUGAAGUCAGACUUGCUUGCCGGAGCUUGCUUCGGUUUGCAGGCCAGCAUCAGUUUUCCGGGGUGGAUAAUGGCGGUUAGAAGGUAGCAGCUUCAGCUGUGUUA
rnacentral:rRNA from 1 species